GAUGAACGCUGGCGGCGUGCCUAAUACAUGCAAGUCGAGCGAACAGACGAGGAGCUUGCUCCUCUGACGUUAGCGGCGGACGGGUGAGUAACACGUGGAUAACCUACCUAUAAGACUGGGAUAACUUCGGGAAACCGGAGCUAAUACCGGAUAAUAUAUUGAACCGCAUGGUUCAAUAGUGAAAGACGGUUUUGCUGUCACUUAUAGAUGGAUCCGCGCCGCAUUAGCUAGUUGGUAAGGUAACGGCUUACCAAGGCAACGAUGCGUAGCCGACCUGAGAGGGUGAUCGGCCACACUGGAACUGAGACACGGUCCAGACUCCUACGGGAGGCCGCAGUAGGGAACCUUCCGCAAUGGGCGAAAGCCUGACGGAGCAACGCCGCGUGAGUGAUGAAGGUCUUCGGAUCGUAAAACUCUGUUAUUAGGGAAGAACAAAUGUGUAAGUAACUAUGCACGUCUUGACGGUACCUAAUCAGAAAGCCACGGCUAACUACGUG
rnacentral:rRNA from 1 species